CUUUAUGCUGGUUUGAAUUCACAUGCUGUCAUCUGCUCUUGGAAGCUAAGCAGCCCUGGACCUGCUCAAUGUUUGACUGGGAGACCACUGUAGAAGUUCAGGUGUUGUAGAAGU
rnacentral:rRNA from 1 species